AAUCGCCUACGGGACGCAGCAGUGAGGAAUAUUGGUCAAUGGCCGAGAGGCUGAACCAGCCAAGUCGCGUGAGGGAAGACGGCCCUACGGGUUGUAAACCUCUUUUGUCGGGGAGCAAAGCGAACCACGUGUGGUUCAUUGAGAGUACCCGAAGAAAAAGCAUCGGCUAACUCCGUGCCAGCAGCCGCGGUAAUACGUAGGGGGCAAGCGUUAUCCGGAUUUACUGGGUGUAAAGGGAGCGUAGACGGCAAUACAAGUCGGAAGUGAAAUACCCGGGCUCAACCUGGGAACUGCUUUGGAAACUG
rnacentral:rRNA from 1 species